rnacentral:tRNA from 1 species
GCGUUUGUAGUCCAAUGGUCAGGAUAAUUGCCUUCCAAGCAAUAGAUCCGGGUUCAAUUCCCGGCAAACGCA